AGGUUUUACUGAGAAAAUACAAAAUGUAUGUGAACAAUUCAAUAAAUAUUUCUUUCAGGAAAGAGAAAGCAUUAAUGACCUCAGGAAUAGCCUCCAGGAGGAACUGACACAUGAACUAGGUUUUGAAGGGAGCCAAGAGAUUCUAAGAGGUGCCGAUUGGAUUUUCAAAAAUUGAGAAAAUCAACACUUUGAAGCUAUAAGGCAACUUGGAGAACAUCUAGUCCAAUGCUGUCAUUUUACAAAUGAAGAAACAAAGGCAUGAAGAGGAGUCUUGCCCAACAUCAUAUAGCUAGUUAAGAAGUAAAUGUAAGCUAUAUAGUGAGAUAUUCUCCAAAUGGGAAAAAUGAAAAUGAUAUAUUGAGAAAAAUGAGAAAAUGAUAUAUGAAAGAAAAAGAAAUAAUGCUGGGUUCCACAGUAAACUAUGUGCAAGAUAAGA
ensembl:lncRNA uncharacterized LOC103096174